rnacentral:rRNA from 1 species
AUACGUAUGUCGCAAGCGUUAUCCGGAUUUAUUGGGCGUAAAGCGCGUCUAGGCGGCUUAGUAAGUCUGAUGUGAAAAUGCGGGGCUCAACCCCGUAUUGCGUUGGAAACUGCUAAACUAGAGUACUGGAGAGGUAGGCGGAACUACAAGUGUAGAGGUGAAAUUCGUAGAUAUUUGUAGGAAUGCCGAUGGGAAAGCCAGCCUACUGGACAGAUACUGACGCUAAAGCGCGAAAGCGUGGGUAGCAAACAGGAUUAGAUACCCUGGUAGUCCACGCCGUAAACGAUGAUUACUAGGUGUUGGGGGUCGAACCUCAGCGCCCAAGCUAACGCGAUAAGUAAUCCGCCUGAGGAGUACGUACGCAAGUAUGAAACUCAAAUGAAUUGACGGGG